AUUUUGUCUGCCGUUACAUUCUGAGUUCAAAUUCCACCAAGGUCAUCUUUGCUGUUCAUUCUCUCAGGGUUGAUAAAAUAAGU